ACAUAAGAACAACUGAACAAGAACAAAGGUCAAUGUUAGCAGUUGAAACCUGAAAAGGAAAGCUUAUCUUUUUAUGUUGCGUUACUUACAACAAGGCAUUGUAACAUAACCCCAUUUUCUCUGCAAUGAAAACAGGAAAAUUCUAUUACAAUUGAGACUAUAUGACAUAAUAUAUACAUAUAUAUCAUAUGGGUUUCAGCUCAGUUCACUGUACCAAUACCUGAACAGUAGAUAAAUAAUACAAGUAGAUAAAGAACAGUACUUUACUGUUUGUUUUGUUGUUGUUGUUGAUCAACCAAAUUAAAGUUGCUUCUAAUUCGUUUCUCAGACCACAACACAAGACAAAAACCAAAACAAAACGACAGUAAGACUACUUACCUAAAGCAAAUCAAGAAUAAAAUCCAAUCCAACCUGAUCUUGUGUUUAUCUUUAUUUUUUGUUUUUUCUUGCUUGCUAAGUUAUGGAUUUGAUACAGUCUCCAACUCCAAUGCUCGUAAAGUGUCGGUUGUCUUAAUGGGCUGAAUGAGUGAAGAGCAAAUGGAUUUCGAAGACGAGGAGUAUGGAGGACUUCAAAAGCUCCAGUAUCAGGGUAAUAGUGGAGCUAUAUCUGCUCUUGCAGAUGAAGAACCAAUGGGAGAAGAUGAUGAAUAUGAUGAUCUCUAUAAUGAUGUUAACAUUGGAGAUGGUUUCAUGCAGUUGCACCAGUCUGAGGCACCACUUCCUCCUGGCGGUGUCAACAAUGGAGGGCUCCAAGCUCAGAAGACUAAUUUUCUAUUACCAAGAGACGAAACUGGGGUAUCUCGUGAACCGAAUAUUCCUGGUGUUUCAACAGAUGGAAAAUAUCCUAGUACAAGUUCUCAAAUUCCUGGCCAAAAGGAGGGACUUGCAGUUGAUAAUAAAUCAAAAGUUGGUUUCAUGUUGUACCCGAAUGGAGCUGCUUCAGUCUCAGAAAAGGGAAGAAUUAUGGGGUCUAAUGGAUCUUUGAUACAACAUGGUGCAGGAGUUGAUUCAUCUGUUAUUCCUGUAAAAGUUGCAAAUGAGCAUGUAUUGUCACUGAAUUCUGGAAAUACCGCUAAUCAAACCAAUGUGGAUUUAAGCGUUAAACACCCUGCGGUUAAUGAAAAUCUGAUAAGGCCACCAAUGGAGAAUGGUUCAACUAUGCUGUUUGUUGGGGAACUAAAUUGGUGGACAACUGAUGCUGAACUUGAAAAUGUUUUAUCUCAAUAUGGAAGAGUAAAGGAAAUUAAGUUUUUUGAUGAAAGAGCCAGUGGCAAAUCAAAAGGAUAUUGUCAAGUUGAGUUUCAUGAUUCAUCAGCAGCUACUGCAUGCAAGGAAGGAAUGCAUGGUCAAGUUUUCAAUGGAAGAGCUUGUGUUGUGGCAUUUGCUACUUCACAAACACUUCAACAGAUGGGAGCUGCUUAUACAAGCAAGAAUCAAGUCCAGAAUCAGUCUCAACUUCCCCAGGGGCAGGGAAGAAGGCCUGUCAGUGAUGGUGUUGGAAGAGGUGGCAAUCAGAACCAUCAAAGUGGAGAUGGAGGGAGGAAUUUCGGAAGGGGUGGAUGGGGACGAGGUGGGCAAGGAAUACUCAACAGAGGAGGUGGUGGGGUAAUGAGGGGAAGGGGAGGAGGGGCUAUGGGUGCUAAGAACAUGGUUGGACUUGGGAGCAAUGCUGGUGGAGUAGGUGGAUAUGGGCAGGGUCUUGGAGGACAUGCUUUCGGGGGUCCUGCUGGUGGAAUGAUGAAUCCACAGGCCAUGAUGGGUUUUGGAUUUGAUCAGUCAUGUAUGAGUAGAGGAGGUGGUUAUGGGGGAUUUCCAGGACAUGCUUACCCUGGAAUGCUUUCUUCAUUUCCAGGAGUUAACACAAUGGGACUAGGUGCAGUGGCUCCACAUGUAAACCCAGCCUUCUUUGGCAGGGGUAUGACAAAUAAUGGAAUGGGUAUGAUGGGUUCUCCUUUCAUGGAUGGGCAUCAUGCAGGGAUGUGGAAUGAGACUAGCAUGGGUGGAUGGGGAGGAGACGAACAAGUUCGAAGGAGCAAGGAAGCAAGCUAUGGUGGUGGUGGUGGUGGUGAUGAUGGUGCUUCUGAGUAUGGGUAUGGAGAAGCAAACCAUGAAAAAGGAGUAAGAUCAAGUGUUGCUUCUAGGGAAAGGGAGCGGGGAUCUGAUCGUGAGCGGAGGCAUCAUGAAGAAAGAGACCAGGACUGGGACAGACCUGAAAAGGAGCAGCGGGAGCAUGGAUACAGAGAAGAGAAAGAUGGGUACAACCGAGAUCAUCGUCGAAGAGAACAUGACUUGGAUAAUGACGAUGACUGGGACAAAGGGCGGUCUUCAUCUAGACCUCGUAGUAGGUCAAGAGUAAUGCCAGAAGAUCAUCAACGGUCUCGCUCAAGAGAUGUUGAUUAUGGAAAGAGGAGACGUUUGCCAUCAGAGUAAUUUGAUUUUACCAUGCCCACAAAAUCUAUGCCCUGGAAUUUGAACUGUCAAUCCUUGGAUAUCUAUGCGCGUCUACAUCACUUCGGUUGGAUCUUGAUGGCUCCAUUUCCAAUGUGGCUUAGAAGGAAUAGGGUGGGAGAUUCUUUCUUUUAAUGAAUGAAUCAGCCUUUGCUGAUUAUAUGGUGGAAGAAUUAUUACAUGGGAUGCCUUUAUUUGGAUUUCUCUGGUGAUGGAUUGGAUCUGCCAAGUGUGUGUUAAGAAGCCUUUGACUGUUUUCAAUUUCACCUUGUUUUUCUAAAAGACCACCUUAAAAAUAUGUACUAGUAGUGCUCCUGCAACACAACAUCUAGAAAGACUAUUUAUGAGCUUGUUCAUAUGUGAAUGAAAAUUUUCUCAUGUAUAGUCUAGUGUAAAAUGAUUUGUAUUAGUUUUCAUAUGUAACAACACUCUUUCUUGCUUUUCUUUUCCCCUUGUAUUGGGCUCAACAAAGAGCUUGUAAAAGUCUUGUUCUGGAUUUGUACUUCCACAAAUAAGAGCCAUUUCUUGCAUUAAAA